rnacentral:misc_RNA from 1 species
GGAAUUUUCAAUGUGGAAUGUGAAGUUUAAUUAUUGAGAUGUUCCUUUGAGAACAAGAAAAGUAAAGAAGAUGGAGAUUUGAGAUAGUUGGGCUUGUGCAUUCUCGUGCAUUACACUAGAACAAAGGUCAAACAUAAAAAUCGUGGGGGAUAGAAAAUGAGGCAUAUCUAAAAUGACAUGAAGGAAAAUGGUGAGAAAACUUAGUAACAAAGAUAUAGCCCUGAACUGGGUGGAACAGAAGAAAAAAUCCAUAUGGCCAACUCCAACUACUAUGAAAUGAGAACAAGUCUAAACCAAUCAUAUAAUUAAAUAAGGUUGUAAACUAAAAUAUAGCUGAGUCA